GCCUGUAGCUUAGUCAGGGUAGAGCGCCGGGCUUUUAACCCGGUGGCCGGGGGUUCGAAUCCCUCCAGGC
rnacentral:tRNA from 1 species